rnacentral:rRNA from 1 species
CAGCCGCCGCGGUAAUACGAAGGGUGCAAGCGUUAAUCGGAAUUACUGGGCGUAAAGCGUGCGUAGGCGGUGAGUUAAGUCUGCUGUGAAAUCCCCGGGCUCAACCUGGGAAUGGCAGUGGAUACUGGCUCGCUAGAGUGUGUCAGAGGAUGGUGGAAUUCCCGGUGUAGCGGUGAAAUGCGUAGAGAUCGGGAGGAACAUCAGUGGCGAAGGCGGCCAUCUGGGCCAACACUGACACUGAGGCACGAAAACGUGGGGAGCAAACAGGAUUAGAUACCCCCGUAGUCCCUGUCUCUUAUAC